UACGUAGGGACCAAGCGUUGUUCGGAUUUACUGGGCGUAAAGGGCGCGUAGGCGGCUUAACAAGUCACUUGUGAAAUCUCCGGGCUUAACUCGGAACGGCCAAGUGAAACUGUCAAGCUAGAGUGCGGAAGGGGCAAUCGGAAUUCUUGGUGUAGCGGUGAAAUGCGUAGAUAUCAAGCGGAACACCAGUGGCGAAGGCGAGUCCCUGGACAACUCCUGACACUGAGGCACGAAAGCUAGGGGAGCAAACAGG
rnacentral:rRNA from 1 species